rnacentral:rRNA from 1 species
UAGUGGCAAACGGGUGAGUAACACGUGGGAAUCUACCCAUCAGUACGGAAUAACAUUUGGAAACAGAUGCUAAUACCGUAUAUUCUCUAAGGAGGAAAGAUUUAUCGCUGAUGGAUGAGCCCGCGUAAGAUUAGGUAGUUGGUAGGGUAAUGGCCUACCAAGCCGACGAUCUUUAGCUGGUCUGAGAGGAUGAUCAGCCACACUGGGACUGAGACACGGCCCAGACUCC